rnacentral:rRNA from 1 species
GAUGAACGCUGGCGGCGUGCCUAAUACAUGCAAGUCGAACGCUGGAAAUCUAGCUUGCUAGAUUGAAGGAGUGGCGAACGGGUGAGUAAUACAUAAGCAACCUACCCACGAAUACUGGGAUAAUCCCUGGAAACGGGGACUAAUACCGGAUAGGUAAUCGGCAGGCUUCUUCUGAUUAUUAAAGGUUAACAACACUGGUGGAUGGGCUGAUGGGGCAUUGGUUAGUUGGUGAGGUAACUGCCCACCAGGACGAUGAUGCGUAGCCGGCCUGAGAGGGGGAGCGGCGACAGUGGGACUGGGACAAGGCCCAGAGUCCUACGGGCGGCAGCAGUAGGGAAGUUUCGGCAAUGGGAGAAAGCCUGACCGGGCGACGCCGCGUGAGGGAUGGCGGCCUGCGGGUUGACGAGCUCUGUUGUGAAGGAAGAAUGGUAGUUAGAGAAUAUCUAAAUGACGGUACCUGAUCAGGAAGCCACGGCUAACUACGUG